rnacentral:rRNA from 1 species
GACGAACGCUGGCGGCGUGCUUAACACAUGCAAGUCGAACGGAAAGGCCCUUCGGGGUACUCGAGUGGCGUACGGGUGGGUAACACGUGGGUGAGCUGCCCUGCACUUUGGGAUAAGCCUGGGAAACUGGGACUAAUACCGAAUAGGACCACGCGCUUCUUAGUGUGUGGUGGCAAGCUUUUGCGGUGUGGGUUGGGCCCGCGGCCUAUCAGCUUGCUGGUGGGGUAAGGGUAUACCAAGGCGACGACGGGUAGCCGGCCUGGGAGGGUGACCGGCCACACUGGGACUGAGAUACGGCCCAGACGCCUACGGGAGGCAGCAGUGGGGAAUAUUGCACAAUGGGCGCAAGCCUGAUGCAGCGACGCCGCGUGAGGGAUGACGGCCUUCGGGUUGUAAACCACUUUCAAUAGGGACGAAGCGGAAGUGACGGUACCUAUAGAAGAAGCACCGGCCAACUACGUG